UUUGCUCGGCGGGGACACAAAAUUGCUUAACGUGCAAAAUCGUUUCCUCGGGAAAUGGCAAAAGACUAUAAGAAAAAACUAGCUGUGAAAAAAUGUAUCUGGUUUAGACCAGCAUCCAUUUCUCGGCAUAGGACAAUGGAGCACAUUUUAACGCCAAAGGUGGAAGAAGUGAAAUUGUUAGAGUGAUACACUGCAAAGAAGCCAGCCACUGGCACUCUCUAUCUCACAGGAACCCAUCUCAUCUUUGUGGAGACAUCCUGUAACACUCGCAAGGAAACAUGGGUUUUACACCAUCUCAUAGCUACAGUAGAGAAACUCCCUCUUACAGCCACAGGAUGCCCGCUUCACAUUUCCUGCAAGAAUUUCCAUGUGGCUCACUUUGUCAUUCCCAGUGGGGGGACUGCCAGAAUGUGUAUCAGUCCCUGCUCAAACUCUCCCAACCAGACGAAGAUGAGAGAAGACAUGGUUGGGGCUUUGACUCAGCCAUGAAUUUCAAAAGAAUGGGAUUGCCCAACGAGUUUUGGGAAAUGACAGAAUUCAACAAGAACUAUGAGCUUUGCAGCACAUAUCACUCAGAACUGGGCAUUCCUAAAACUGCAAGCAAGGGCACAGUCUUGGGGAGUGCCAAAUUCAGGAGCAGAGGGUGCAUUCCUACUCUCUCCUACUUCCACAAGCGAAGAAAUGCUGCCAUUUGCCGUUGUAGCCAGCCCCUGUCUGGGUUAACUGUUUGAUGUGUAGAAGAUGAGGCGAUGCUACAGGCAAUCAGCUGGGCUAAUCCCAAAAGCACCUUCAUGUAUGGUGGAUACCAGACCUAAGUUUAAUGCCAUGGCCAAUAGAGCAGCAGGGAAGGAAUACGAGAAAGAGGACAGGAAAUAUUGGCAGGAAAGGAUCGCCUGCCAUGGAAGCAGGGGGAGAUGUCGCCGUUCCUCCUGCGCUGAUAUGAGGGGACACGGUUAGCACGGAAGCACGAGAGGCAGCCCGAAUAAAACAUUUUUUGGGGGGGGCACAUGUGGAGAUUGGCUGAGUCAGGUUGGAGACCUGAGCCAACUCUUCAUGCUUACCGCGGGGAGCAUGUGACUGGUCAGACACCGUGUUAUGCAGUGAUGCACACGGUGUCUCCAGUUCGCAUUCAUAGCCCGGUGCGCUCUAUUCCAACUCCUCGCAUUUGCCGGGCUAGAAUGGGCAUC